rnacentral:lncRNA from 1 species
CGCCCGACGAGGGUAUGCGCAGCGGGGCACGCCGGGAUCUGUGGUCCGGCGCGCGGCUGAUCGCCUGGGGUCACGGAGGUGCAGGCGGCGCGCCGCAGAGCGGGCGGGGAGCAGCACCGCGCGCCCCCAGAGCCCCCAGAACCGGCCGGUAGAGGCACCGGAGCGAGAGACCGAAUGCCGGCCUGCGAGCGCGUCCAGUACGUCACCGACUGACAGACCCGGAGUGCCCGCGCGCGGCUGACGGAAAAAUUGGUUGAGAUUUUGUACUGGGUUCUGCGCACUGUGAGUGAGCAGCCAAACCUGGGUGACCAGUGGUCAUCUAGUUAUAGAUAUGUUCCCCAGUGUAAGCUUAAGUGUGGCAGGGGACUAUGAAGUCAUCAGAGUGGACAUUUAAUACAUGUAUGCUGUGUGCCAGGCCUGUGCUGGACAUUUGUCAUGGAUCAUCCUGUAACCUUAUAGCCACCCUCUGAGAUAGGUACUGAUGUCAGGCUGGGUACAAACAAGAACUAGGAAAUGAAAGAACCAUCUUCAGCUGGAUAAGCAACUGGAUGAGCUUUGGAGAACCUCAAGCUGAUAUAUGUUCAGCACAUCAAAGGUGGGCCAAGGAGCUGAGGGAAAAUAUUUGUGUGUGUGUGUGUGUGUGUGUGUGUGUGUGUGUGUGUGUGCUAAGACCUUCACCAGGGAUUUUAGGUGUUGCAGUACUGAGGGGGGAAAAAGAGACUUAGGGCAAUGUGGGAAUAGGACUUCAUCUGCUACCAGGUGACUAGGAUGGUUCUCUAAGAAGUGGCAGCUAAGGUGAGGCCUCCGGGCAAUGAGGAGGAGUUAGAUACAGAGAUGUAUUUCAGGAGAAGAAAACAGCAGGGGUAAAGGCCAAGGUGAGUGAGGAAACAACAAGAGCAAGGUGACAAGGGGCAGGGAUUUAGCUCAGUGGCGCUGCACCCAGGUACCAAAAGAAGGAUAGUUUCCCUGAGCAGAGACUGAUGCAAGUAGACUGAGUGUCUGGUCUGGUACAAAAGAGAAGGUGAAAGAUCAGAGCUGUAUAAAUGUACACCUGUUGGCCAGGCAUGGUGGCGCACUCCUGUAAUCCCAGCACUCGGGGCUGAAGCAGAAGGACCAUAAAUUUGAGGCCAGCCUCGCCACAGAGUAAGUUCAAGGCCAACCUGAACUACAUAGUAAGGUCCUGUCUUGAAAACAACAAACAGGGCCAGGGAUUUAGCUCAGUGGUUCCGGGCCUACCUGGCAAGCCCAAGGACCGGAGUUCAUCCCCGUACCAAAACAAACAAACAAAAACAACAAACAAUCAGGGUGUGGUGGUGCACACCUGUAAUCUCAGUAUUCGAAAGGCUGAGGCAGGAGGAUCACUCCAAGUUUGAGGUGAGGCUGGGCUACAUAAUGACUUCAAGGCUAGCCUGAACUACAUACACCCUGCCUCAAACAAACAAAAAAUAUAUACCUGGGCAGCUUAGCAACUUAGUGAAACACUACCUCAAACUAAAAGUAGAAGAAGGAGCUGGGGAUGCAGCUCAGUGUAAAGAAAGGCCUUAUGUUCAAUGGCCAAUACCACCAAAACAAAGAACUUUGUGAAGAUCUAAAGAACCUGGAACCCUCACCCAGAGCUAAUAGGAAGAAAAAACAGUACAGCAACUUUGAAGAACGUCCUGAGAGUAGUAUUGCCCCCUACCUCAUUGGUUAUCUGGAAGCAUGUGUGGUAUGUUUGUUAUAUGACUAGGGGAGGGGCUUACUGGUCUCCUUGGGUGGGAAUGAGUCCUAAAGUCCUGUAGUACAAAGGAAAUGUCCCCCUCUGAAUUCAGUAGCUCUCAACUACAGAUGAAAUUGGAGUCUGAGAAGUAAUUAAUAGUGAACUAGAGGGCAUGGCCAUUUUAAUGAUCUUAUAUUCCCAAAUUGUUUGCCAGAGAUAAUUACUUGCCCCCACUAGUAGUGAAUGGAGGUGACUGCUCACCAGCCCGAGUAGCAUUCAUUGCUCAUGGUUCUUCCAGAGUUUAGAAAGCUUGUGAGAGGCAGCCCUAUGUGAAGAAAAGAUGACAUGACAUCACAUGCUUGAGUUCAAGCCCCAGCUCUGCACCAAUUGACCAGAUGACCCAAGGAGCUCAUUUUCCCCAGCUUUUAAAAUGGGAACAGUUGGGCCGGGAUUUAGCCCAGUGGAACUGUGCCUGUCUCACAAGUGCAAGGUCCGGAGUUCCAUCCCUAGUACCAAAAUUAAAAAAUAAAAUGGGAACAGUAAUAUUGACAAGGUGGUAGCACAGGUUGAAUGUGUUAACAGAGGCAAAAAGCUAGUGUGGCCUAAAAAUAAAUACAAAGGGCUGGGGAUGGGGAUGUAGCUUAGUGGUAGAGGGCUUGCCUAGCAUAGAUUCAAUCCAGAAUACUUAAAAACAAAAAAAAUAGGGCCAGGGAUUUAGCUUAGUGGCAUCUCCCCUGCCUCAAAAGCGCAAGGUCCUGAGUUCAGUCCACAAUUCCAAAAAAAACUUACCAAUACUUGUCAUCUGUCUUUGUGUUUGUGUGGGUGGGUACCAGGGAUUGAACUCAGGACCUUACUCCUACAAGGCAGGUGAGGCACCACUGAGCUAAAUCCCUGGCCCUCUGUCUCUUUUGAUUAUAGCCAUACCAACAGGUAUAAAAGUUAUAUCCCAGCCCUUUUAAAAUUUUCUUUUGAGACAGGGUCUCACUAAGUUGCUGAGUUACCCCAGCAGGGCUCAAACUUAUGAUCCUCCUGCCUCAGCCUCCCAGAAUUCUACGGUUAUAGGUGUAUGCUCCCACCCCAGGGUUCAUUGCAGUUUUAAUUUGCACUUCCUGGCAGCUAAUGAUGUUAAGCAUCUUUUCAUGUGUUUAUUGGUAUUUUAUAUAUCUUCUUCAGAGAAAUGUCUACAGAAAUCUUUUGCCACCUUUUUUUCUUUUCUUUUGCUCACUUUUAAAUGGGAUUAUUUGUCUUUUUUUGUUACAGAAUUGUCCUGGCUACAGGUCCCUUAUCAGAUAAAUGAUUGGCCACUGUUUUCUCUCAUUCCAUGGGUUGCCUUUUCACUUUCUUAGUCAUAGCCUUUUUUUUUUUUUUUUUUUUUGGUACCGGGAUCAAACUCAGGACCUUUCUCAUGCAAGGAAGGCACCAGAACCAGUGAGCUAAAUCCCCGCCCUCUUAGUCAUAGCCUUUGAAUCACAAAAGUUUCUUAAUUUUAGUGAAUGCCAGUUCAUUCUAUCUUUUAUCAUUUUCUUUUGUUUGUUUUGUUUUGGUACCAGGAUCAAACUCAGGACCUUGCACUAUCUUUUAUCAUUUGUGCUUCUGGUGUCAUACCUAAGAAGGCUUUGUGGGGUUUUU